rnacentral:tRNA from 1 species
GGGUCGUUAGCUCAGUUGGUAGAGCAGUUGACUUUUAAUCAAUUGGUCGCAGGUUCGAACCGACCCAGCAACGGCCCG